GUGGGAGGACUUGCCUACCAUCCUAUCAAAUAGACUGCAGAGAGAGUGAGAGAGGGGCAGAGUUCUGCACCAUGGCUCUGCUCUGGACAAAGCCUCGUUAUCUGCACUUCCUGCAAGAAAAGAAAGGCAGAGGGAACCUGGUUAUCAUCCUGUGAUGUGUGACAGUGACCAGUCCGUCAAGCUGCUCCUGGUGGAUAUAUGCUCAAAUUCCUGCCAUGUGUACAUUAGUGCUGUAAUGGGAAUACCUUGUGAAAAAUGUGGAGCCAAAGGAGACAAGAAAAAUCCCAGCAGUUCCCAGCUUUCCCCACAACCCUUCUCAUAUAAUAAAUUAAAUAUUUGAAAUUUCAAAGGCAUGAAUCUCAAAUGGGUGAUAGGAAGCAGGUUUUCCAACAUGGAGCCUCCAUCAGCAUUUGGAAUAUAGAGACUCCUGCAGGGCAACUCGCUCUCCUUGUGCUUACUUAUAAACAAACGCCACCAAGCACUGCCUUGCUAGAGUAAUCGAUCAAGACACAGAUCCCUGUUGGAAAAAAAUAAUCAGUCCCCAGUAAAAUAGUUACCAAGUGACAAAAUUGGAAUUUGAACCCAGUCCUAUAAAAUUCAAAAGUCCUUACUCACUUUGUCUUCUCUUCUUUCCUUCUGGGAAAAUCCUUCAAGGUACCAUCCAGCUCUGGGAUUUUGGCCAUGAUUGGGUCCGUCCGGCAAGACCUUUAAAGAAGAGAUUUAACAGCAACGGACUUUGUUAUACCAGCCGUGGUCGUGAGGUCAGUCUGCAAAAUUGAGAUGGCUUUCUGUUGUAAAGUUCACCCUCGCAAGACAGAUUUUCACAGUUCUUCUGUAAAUAUUCCACCAUCCUGAAUCUUUCAACUUCAGAAAUUUUUGCCUUUAGAAUUCUAGGUUAUUGGUUUAAUUGAUGCUGUUCUUGGGGCUUGGGAUCCAUUUAUCUUAUCUUUGUAAUCAGACGGCAGUGAAUCCAAGAGAAGGGGUCUAGAGCCCUGUAUCCGUGGCCACUCCCCAGUCCAUCCUCCCUGCUUCUCCUGUUGCUCUGAUGCAAGCUGAGCCUUGUUCUUGAAGUA